UCUAAAGAAAUACGGUUGGGGUCAUUAA
rnacentral:piRNA from 1 species